rnacentral:rRNA from 1 species
ACGAACGCUGGCGGCGUGCCUAAUACAUGCAAGUAGAACGCUGAAGAGAGGAGCUUGCUCUUCUUGGAUGAGUUGCGAACGGGUGAGUAACGCGUAGGUAACCUGCCUUGUAGCGGGGGAUAACUAUUGGAAACGAUAGCUAAUACCGCAUAACAAUGGAUGACACAUGUCAUUUAUUUGAAAGGGGCAAUUGUUCCACUACAAGAUGGACCUGCGUUGUAUUAGCUAGUAGGUGAGGUAAUGGCUCACCUAGGCGACGAUACAUAGCCGACCUGAGAGGGUGAUCGGCCACACUGGGACUGAGACACGGCCCAGACUCCUACGGGAGGCAGCAGUAGGGAAUCUUCGGCAAUGGGGGCAACCCUGACCGAGCAACGCCGCGUGAGUGAAGAAGGUUUUCGGAUCGUAAAGCUCUGUUGUAAGUCAAGAACGGGUGUGAGAGUGGAAAGUUCGCACUGUGACGGUAGCUUACCAGAAAGGGACGGCUAACUACGUG